CGGCAUGCCUAACACAUGCAAGUCGAACGAAGCCUUCGGGCUUAGUGGCGCACGGGUGCGUAACGCGUGGGAAUCCUGGCCCCUCGGUUCGGAAUAACAGUUAGAAAUGACUGCUAAUACCGGAUGAUGACGAAAGUCCAAAGAUUUAUCGGCCGAGGGAUGAGCCCGCGUAGGAUUAGCUUGUUGGUGGGGUAAUGGCCCACCAAGGCGACGAUCCUUAGCUGGUCUGAGAGGAUGAUCAGCCACACUGGGACUGAGACACGGCCCAGACUCCUACGGGAGGCAGCAGUGGGGAAUAUUGGACAAUGGGCGAAAGCCUGAUCCAGCAAUGCCGCGUGAGUGAUGAAGGCCUUAGGGUUGUAAAGCUCUUUUACCAGGGAUGAUAAUGACAGUACCUGGAGAAUAAGCUCCGGCUAACUCCGUG
rnacentral:rRNA from 1 species